AGUUAAUAAGCCAAAAGCACAUGUUUUGAAAACAUGAAUCUAGAAAUUAAAAUUUUCUAUUAACUU
rnacentral:tRNA from 1 species